AAGGUAGCGUAAUAACCAGCCCUCUAAUUAAAGGCCAGUGAAAGGCGACACGUGGGAACACCUAUAUCUAAUGUGUUAAAAGAAACUUACCUCUGAGUGAAAAGGCUCAGCUAAUGAAAAAAGACGAAAAGACCCCGCGGAGCUUUACUUAAACGCCACAACCCAAUACAAAGUUUACCGCCAAGAGUUUGGUUGGGGCAACCUUGGAACAAACUCAUCUUCCAAUCCACCUACCUUAAACUAUAAAAAACCUACUAAGGACCAAAAAGAAGCUACCCCGGGGAUAACAGCGUAAUCCAACUUAAA
rnacentral:rRNA from 1 species